UACAUGGGGUGCAAACGUUGCUCGGAAUUAUUGGGCGUAAAGCGCACGUAGGUGGUUUGUUAUGUCGGAUGUGAAAGCCCUCGGCUCAACUGAGGAAGUGCAUCCGAAACUGGCAAGCUAGAGUAUGUAAGAGGGUCGCGGAAUUCCCGGUGUAGAGGUGAAAUUCGUAGAUAUCGGGAGGAACACCGGUGGCGAAGGCGGCGACCUGGGACAAUACUGACACUGAAUCGCGAAAGCUAGGGGAGCAAACGGG
rnacentral:rRNA from 1 species